rnacentral:tRNA from 1 species
UAAAUUUUAGUUUAUAAUAAAACGUUGUUUUGCAAAAACAAAAAAGACUUUUGUCAGAUUUAU